rnacentral:rRNA from 1 species
UACGUAGGGUGCGAGCGUUGUCCGGAAUUAUUGGGCGUAAAGAGCUUGUAGGCGGUUUGUCGCGUCUGCCGUGAAAGUCCGGGGCUCAACUCCGGAUCUGCGGUGGGUACGGGCAGACUAGAGUGAUGUAGGGGAGACUGGAAUUCCUGGUGUAGCGGUGGAAUGCGCAGAUAUCAGGAGGAACACCGAUGGCGAAGGCAGGUCUCUGGGCCACUACUGACGCUGAGAAGCGAAAGCAUGGGGAGCGAACAGG